GAUGAACGCUAGCUACAGGCUUAACACAUGCAAGUCGAGGGGAAACGGCAUUGAGUGCUUGCACUCUUUGGACGUCGACCGGCGCACGGGUGAGUAACGCGUAUCCAACCUUCCCAUUACUGUGGGAUAACCUGCCGAAAGGCAGACUAAUACCGCAUAGUCUUCGAUGACGGCAUCAGAUUUGAAGUAAAGAUUUAUCGGUAAUGGAUGGGGAUGCGUCUGAUUAGCUUGUUGGCGGGGUAACGGCCCACCAAGGCUACGAUCAGUAGGGGUUCUGAGAGGAAGGUCCCCCACAUUGGAACUGAGACACGGUCCAAACUCCUACGGGAGGCAGCAGUGAGGAAUAUUGGUCAAUGGACGGAAGUCUGAACUAGCCAAGUAGCGUGCAGGAUGACGGCCCUAUGGGUUGUAAACUGCUUUUGUAUGGGGAUAAAGUUAGGGACGUGUCCCUAUUUGCAGGUACCAUACGAAUAAGGACCGGCUAAUUCCGUGCCAGCAGCCGCGGUAAUACGGAAGGUCCAGGCGUUAUCCGGAUUUAUUGGGUUUAAAGGGAGCGUAGGCUGGAGAUUAAGUGUGUUGUGAAAUGUAGACGCUCAACGUCUGAAUUGCAGCGCAUACUGGUUUCCUUGAGUACGCACAACGUUGGCGGAAUUCGUCGUGUAGCGGUGAAAUGCUUAGAUAUGACGAAGAACUCCGAUUGCGAAGGCAGCUGACGGGAGCGCAACUGACGCUUAAGCUCGAAGGUGCGGGUAUCAAACAGG
rnacentral:rRNA from 1 species